GACGAACGCUGGCGGCGUGCUUAACACAUGCAAGUCGAACGGAAAGGCCCUGCUUUUGUGGGGUGCUCGAGUGGCGAACGGGUGAGUAACACGUGAGUAACCUGCCCUUGACUUUGGGAUAACUUCAGGAAACUGGGGCUAAUACCGGAUAGGAGCUCCUGCUGCAUGGUGGGGGUUGGAAAGUUUCGGCGGUUGGGGAUGGACUCGCGGCUUAUCAGCUUGUUGGUGGGGUAGUGGCUUACCAAGGCUUUGACGGGUAGCCGGCCUGAGAGGGUGACCGGCCACAUUGGGACUGAGAUACGGCCCAGACUCCUACGGGAGGCAGCAGUGGGGAAUAUUGCACAAUAGGCGGAAGCCUGAUGCAGCAACGCCGCGUGCGGGAUGACGGCCUUCGGGUUGUAAACCGCUUUCGCCUGUGACGAAGCGUGAGUGACGGUAAUGGGCAAAGAAGCACCGGCUAACUACGUG
rnacentral:rRNA from 1 species